ACGGGUGAGUAACGCGUGGGAAUCUACCCAUCUCUACGGAAUAACUCAGGGAAACUUGUGCUAAUACCGUAUACGCCCUUAGGGGGAAAGAUUUAUCGGAGAUGGAUGAGCCCGCGUUGGAUUAGCUAGUUGGUGGGGUAAAGGCCUACCAAGGCGACGAUCCAUAGCUGGUCUGAGAGGAUGAUCAGCCACAUUGGGACUGAGACACGGCCCAAACUCCUACGGGAGGCAGCAGUGGGGAAUAUUGGACAAUGGGCGCAAGCCUGAUCCAGCCAUGCCGCGUGAGUGAUGAAGGCCCUAGGGUUGUAAAGCUCUUUCACCGGAGAAGAUAAUGACGGUAUCCGGAGAAGAAGCCCCGGCUAACUUCGUGCCAGCAGCCGCGGUAAUACGAAGGGGGCUAGCGUUGUUCGGAAUUACUGGGCGUAAAGCGCACGUAGGCGGAUAUUUAAGUCAGGGGUGAAAUCCCAGAGCUCAACUCUGGAACUGCCUUUGAUACUGGGUAUCUGGAGUAUGGAAGAGGUGAGUGGAAUUCCGAGUGUAGAGGUGAAAUUCGUAGA
rnacentral:rRNA from 1 species